rnacentral:snRNA from 1 species
AGCUUUGCGCAGUGGCACUAUCUUAGCCAAUGAGGUUUAUCUAAGGCGGGAUUAUUGUGAAUUGAAAACUUUUCCCAAUACCUCACCAUGAUGACUUGAAAUAUAGUCGGCAUUGGCAAUUUUUGGUAGCCUCUAUGGUGA